rnacentral:rRNA from 1 species
CACCUCUAGCAUUCCUAGUAUUAGAGGCACUGCCUGCCCAGUGACGUCUGUUUAAACGGCCGUGGUAUCCUAACUGUGCAAAGGUAGCAUAAUCACUUGUUCCCUAAGCAGGGACUUGUAUGAACGGCCACACAAGGUUUCACUGUCUCUUACUUCCAAUCAGUGAAAUUGACCUUCCCGUGAAGAGGCGGGAAUAACUAAAUAAGACAAGAAGACCCUAUGGAACUUUAAUUAACUGAUUCACAAAAAAUAACAUACAAACCUAACCUUCAGGGACAAGAGAACCUUUGACUGAAUCAGCAAUUUCGGUUGAGGUGACCUCGGAGAACAAAAUAACCUCCGAGUGAUUAAAAUCCAGACUAAUUAGUCGAAAUAUACAAUCACUUAUUGAUCCAAACUAUUGAUCAACGGAACAAGUUACCCUAGGGAUAACAGUGCAGUCCUAUUCCAGAGUCCAUAUCGACAAUUAGGGUUUACGACCUCGAUGUUGGAUCAAGACAUCCUAAUGGUGCAACCGCAAUUAAGGGUUCGUUUGUUCAACGAUUAAAGUCUU